ACCUACGGGGGGCAGCAGUGGGGAAUAUUGCACAAUGGGGGGAACCCUGAUGCAGCAAUGCCGCGUGAAGGAUGAAGGUUUUCUGAUUGUAAACUUCUUUUGUACGGGACGAAGAAAGUGACGGUACCGUAAGAAUAAGCCCCGGCUAACUACGUGCCAGCAGCCGCGGUAAUACGUAGGGGGCAAGCGUUAUCCGGAUUUACUGGGUGUAAAGGGAGCGUAGACGGCGCUGCAAGUCCGGAGUGAAAGCCCAUGGCUUAACCAUGGUACUGCUCUGGAAACUGUGGAGCUUGAGUGCGGGAGGG
rnacentral:rRNA from 1 species